GGUUUAAUUCGAAGCAACGCGAGAACCUUACCAGGUCUUGACAUCCCGAUGCUAUUUCUAGAGAUAGAAAGUUACUUCGGUACAUCGGUGACAGGUGGUGCAUGGUUGUCGUCAGCUCGUGUCGUGAGAUGUUGGGUUAAGUCCCGCAACGAGCGCAACCCCUAUUGUUAGUUGCCAUCAUUCAGUUGGGCACUCUAGCGAGACUGCCGGUAAUAAACCGGA
rnacentral:rRNA from 1 species